rnacentral:rRNA from 1 species
UAGGGAAUCUUCGGCAAUUGGACGAAAGUCUGACCGAGCAACGCCGCGUGAGUGAAGAAGGUUUUCGGAUCGUAAAGCUCUGUUGUAAGAGAAGAACGAGUGUGAGAGUGGAAAGUUCACACUGUGACGGUAUCUUACCAGAAAGGGACGGCUAACUACGUGCCAGCAGCCGCGGUAAUACGUAGGUCCCGAGCGUUGUCCGGAUUUAUUGGGCGUAAAGCGAGCGCAGGCGGUUAGAUAAGUCUGAAGUUAAAGGCUGUGGCUUAACCAUAGUACGCUUUGGAAACUGUUUAACUUGAGUGCAAGAGGGGAGAGUGGAAUUCCAUGUGUAGCGGUGAAAUGCGUAGAUAUAUGGAGGAACACCGGUGGCGAAAGCGGCUCUCUGGCUUGUAACUGACGCUGAGGCUCGAAAGCGUGGGGAGCAAACAGGAUUAGAUACCCUGGUAGUCCACGCCGUAAACGAUGAGUGCUAGGUGUUAGACCCUUUCCGGGGUUUAGUGCCGCAGCUAACGCAUUAAGCACUCCGCCUGGGGAGUACGACCGCAAGGUUG